UAGAGUUUGAUCCUGGCUCAGGACGAACGCUGGCGGCGUGCCUAAUACAUGCAAGUUGAGCGCUGAAGGUUGGUACUUGUACCGACUGGAUGAGCAGCGAACGGGUGAGUAACGCGUGGGGAAUCUGCCUUUGAGCGGGGGACAACAUUUGGAAACGAAUGCUAAUACCGCAUAAAAACUUUAAACACAAGUUUUAAGUUUGAAAGAUGCAAUUGCAUCACUCAAAGAUGAUCCCGCGUUGUAUUAGCUAGUUGGUGAGGUAAAGGCUCACCAAGGCGAUGAUACAUAGCCGACCUGAGAGGGUGAUCGGCCACAUUGGGACUGAGACACGGCCCAAACUCCUACGGGAGGCAGCAGUAGGGAAUCUUCGGCAAUGGACGAAAGUCUGACCGAGCAACGCCGCGUGAGUGAAGAAGGUUUUCGGAUCGUAAAACUCUGUUGGUAGAGAAGAACGUUGGUGAGAGUGGAAAGCUCAUCAAGUGACGGUAACUACCCAGAAAGGGACGGCUAACUACGUGCCAGCAGCCGCGGUAAUACGUAGGUCCCGAGCGUUGUCCGGAUUUAUUGGGCGUAAAGCGAGCGCAGGUGGUUUAUUAAGUCUGGUGUAAAAGGCAGUGGCUCAACCAUUGUAUGCAUUGGAAACUGGUAGACUUGAGUGCAGGAGAGGAGAGUGGAAUUCCAUGUGUAGCGGUGAAAUGCGUAGAUAUAUGGAGGAACACCGGUGGCGAAAGCGGCUCUCUGGCCUGUAACUGACACUGAGGCUCGAAAGCGUGGGGAGCAAACAGGAUUAGAUACCCUGGUAGUCCACGCCGUAAACGAUGAGUGCUAGAUGUAGGGAGCUAUAAGUUCUCUGUAUCGCAGCUAACGCAAUAAGCACUCCGCCUGGGGAGUACGACCGCAA
rnacentral:rRNA from 1 species